UACGUAGGGGGCAAGCGUUGUCCGGAUUUAUUGGGCGUAAAGAGCGUGUAGGCGGCCAGAUAGGUCCGUUGUGAAAACUCGAGGCUCAACCUCGAGACGCCGAUGGAAACCAUCUGGCUAGAGUCCGGAAGAGGAGAGUGGAAUUCCUGGUGUAGCGGUGAAAUGCGCAGAUAUCAGGAAGAACACCCGUGGCUAAGGCGGCUCUCUAGUACGGUACUGACGCUGAGACGCGAAAAGCGUGGGGGAGC
rnacentral:rRNA from 1 species